UACCGGUCCAGUGACGUGGAUUCAGGAAACCUGUGCUAAUCUAUCUGACUGGAUUCUGGUCGUUUUCUCCUUGGAACGAUUACUGGUUCUAGCACGACCUUUCGUGUUCCGUCGAAUCCAGUCGCAAACGGUGGCACGCGGUGUUGUUGGUGUUCUGGCUAUUUUAUCUGCGGCAUUUGCCAUGCAUUUUUUCGUGGCGAAUGUUACGUGCUGGAAGUAUGACCUUUGGGAGCAUCCUCGCCGUACUCCCCGGUGGCUGAUUCGAUGGAAGACGGUGCAGGAAUUGGCACAGGGGAUUGUGAGUAUCCUGACCUUUGCCUUAGUAUUAGUCCAGAAUGCCGUUCUCAUGGUUUUUCUUAAGCGACAAAGUACAUCCGAAGUGACCAAAAUGCGCCUAUCCCGGCGCAGUAAUACAUCGGGAUCGAGUGAUCGUUAUACCAAUUUCCUCUUGCUCGACAGCGCACUACUCUUCUUAUCUUCCAAGUUUCCCAGUA